rnacentral:lncRNA from 1 species
AUUGGUGGCAGAUGCUGAAGUUGUAGUUCCACCAGGUUUUGGACCCUCUAGUUAUAAAAUUUAGACAAAAAAAUAAUUUAAUUAUGAUCUGUACACAAACCAAAAACAUUUCUUUUUUUCAGUUGAUUAAAGUCAAAAAGAGUGGUGAAUUUAAGACUUAUAAAGAAUACCGUCAUGUAAAUUUUUGUUUUCUUCACUCACCUAGAGUUGAAACUGUAAUGGGAUUAAAGGACACAAGGAAGGAAUUGCUAGGGUCACUUGCAGCAGCACUCAAGGUCUCAGCAACAACUUUAUUUAGUGGGAGUUCAUUAGACGGGGUGCUCGGCUUGAAGAGAACCGCCAGAACCACUCCAAGUAUUUUAGUUCGUGUUGCCACAAAACUGUAUAGAAAAAAAUUGGUGAAAAAACAUGCAUAUUUAAUGUUUUGUAAAACACAAGUCAACAAUGUAAGUGGCUUUAUAAGACAACAAUGAAAAAAGACAGAUCUAAUAUCAAAAGUUUGUUAACAAGAUUGAAGGUAUUUACCUGAAACGCUUCACUUCACACUUAAGAAAUAUAUUGCCAAAUUCUGCUCUAUAGAUUUCCUCACACUGUUGUAAAAUAAGGGAAAAAGAAGACAGCAUGGUGAAUGAACAUUGAAAUAUGGUAUGGAACACUAUUCUGAAGAUGAAUUUCCAAUUAGUUAAAACUUUUCAAAAGAAACUAAUGAAAUUUAAGAUAACCUUGUUUAACUAUUGCUAUUAUUGGUUUUAAAUGAGACAGACGCAUUAUAAAUUUUGAAAUAAUUCCCAAACAACUUACUGAUGAGACGACUCGGAUUUCAAGUGCUUGAAAUUGAGAGCUCUGGGGGUUCUGAAGUUGAAGAGUAAAGGUUUCAUUAAACAACUGUGCUUGAACUAAAUAGGUAGGGACAGCAGAGGUGGUUGGUAAUGAAGUUGUUGGAGCAGCUGUUGCUGUUUUGGCUACUGUUGUGGUUGGAGUAGCUUUAGUUGUUGAAGCAGCUGUAGUGGUGGUGAGGGAAGCUGUAGUGGUGGUUGGGGAAGCUGUAGUUGUCGUUUUGGCAGCUGUAAAAAGAGCAGCUGUGGUUGGGGCAGUCGUGGUGUUAAGAGCAGCUGUGAUAGUGGUUGGAGCUACUGUCAUUGUAGUUAGGGCAGCUGUUGUUGUUGGUGCACCUGUAGAGGUUGUUGGUGCAUCUGUUGUAGUAGUUGAAACAGUUGUUGAUGUGGUUGGUGCAGCUGUAGUUGUGGUUGGUGUAGCUUUUGUAGUCGUUGAAACAUUUGCUGGUGUAGUUGGUGCAUCUGUUGUUGCUUUCAAACGAACUGUAGUUGUGGUUGGUAUAGCUGUUGUAGAAUUUGAAACAGUUGUUGAUGUGGUUUGUGCAGCUGAUGUUUUGGUUGUUGUUGCAAUUGGUAUCGUUGAAAAAGUUGUUGAUGUCUCUGUUGCAGCUGUUGCUUUCAAGCUUACUGUAGUUGUGGUGGAGGCAGCUGUACUGGUGGUUGGUGCAUCUGUAGUUGUCAUUAAAACAGUUGUUGAUGCGGUUGGUGCAGCUGUAGUUGUGGUUGAGCUAGCCUUCGUUGUGGUUUUUGCAGCUUUUGUAGUCGUUAGUGCACCUAUCGUUUGGGGUGGUGUAGAUGUUGUAGUCACUGAAACAGCUGUUGUUGUGGUUAAUGUUGCUGUUGUUGUGGAUAUUGCGGUUGGUGCAGCUAUUGUAAUUGAUCUAGCAGUAGUUAUGGUUGGUGCAGCUUUAGUUGUGGUUUUUAUAGCUGUUGUAGAGGUUGAAACAGUUGUUGAUGUGGUUGGUGCAGCUGUAGUUGUGGUUGGUGUAGCUGUUGUAGUCGUUGAAACAGUUACUGGUGUUGUUGGUGCAUCUGUUGUUGCUUUCAAGCUAAAUGUAGUUGCGGUGGAGGCAGCUGUAGUUGUGGUUUGCAUAGCUGUAGUGGUGGUUGGUGCUUCUGUAGUUGCUGUUGAAAUACUUGAUGAUAUUGAUGGUGAAGCUGUUGCUGUGGUUGAGCUGGCCUGAGUUGUGGUUUUUGCAGAUUUUGUAGUGGAUGGUGCAC